GGCUAUAUAAUAAUUACAAAGCUCAGUCGGUAGAGCAUGGUACUCUUAAUCUUAGGGUUGUGGGUUCAUGCCCCAUGUUGGCCA